UUCUGACAGCUUCUACGAAAUCCUCUAGCACCGAGCGGAACCCCUGCGAGGCUACAUAGCCCGCUUCAAUCAAGAAAAGGUGGUUAUCCCCAAAUGCAGCAUCCCCACUGCUAUCUCUGUUUUCAAGAGAGGUCUGCUCCCCGACGGAGACCUCUACAAGAAACUGACCAAAUACAAGUGCAAAACUAAGCGGAUUGUCAUUCCGAGUUAUUUUCUGAAAGUUGUGUUUGUUUUCGCGAGAGGUAUUGCUGUAGUCUUUGUAUGCGACCAGCCUGGAGGUGAAGCCAUUUUGGUUGAUCAAAUGGUGGCCGAUCGUAGUAAAACCGGUGGCUAUGGACAAAGAACAUAUAGUACUGCAUUCUGACCGGAGGGAUCGAAUGUUUAACGGUCAGUUCUUGAAUUAUUCAUCUGUUUUCUCAAGGCUUCAGGUCUGCCGAAAUCCUCAUAUUUGUCUAUUUUCAGAAAGUUCAGGAGUUGUUAUUUUAGAGCCGUUAAAGUCCAUUCGGUGUGUUCUCAGGUUUUCUGAAGAACCCGUGGCAAAGGUAAGGGUCUUUUCCCGAAUUUCUCUUACACGGCUUAGGACUUCGAAUAAGUAUAAUUUAUUUCUAAUAUGUUCCGUCUGCGUGAAAUCUAGUCUGUCAUUGCUUGUUUAGUUUUUAGGUUCUUUGCUUAAACCGGAAUUAGGGUGUUAGAGGAUUCAACAAUGAUUGUUUCAUUUAAAAUUGGUAAAUAAAAAUAGUUGUAUUAUUAAGAGUUAUGUGAUUGUUUGAGACGGAUACAGAGACGGACUUUUGUAUGCCGGAUUGUGUGGAGGUUACGGUCAGCUAUAGUCGAACGGUUAACGCGUAACCCAGGAGGUCGAUAAAUCGUCUACGGGCGUGUGUUACCGAGCACUUGUUCGGUGUGUGUAUGAACCGAGCACCUUUUCGGUGGUGUUUUUGGCCUGUUAGUGGACAGCGAAUGUGCACCUCGCUAGGACUAUUGUUUGAUCUCUGGAUACUUUAGGUACCGUGUUUGCAACGUGUUAGGAUUAAAUUAUAUUUAUUCGGAGUGCUCUGUCCGGGUCCAUGAAUUUCGGGUUUAGUAUCCCAUACCUCACUGAGUGACUUCCCCGUUACUCAUCCCUCUUUCUUUCCCAUUUCAGAUGAGACAGACGAGUAUAUGAUAUUUGGACGGAUUGGUACUACUGGAUUUUUUAUUCGGAUUUGUAUUUGAGCUUAGAGUGAGUUGAAUCGUGUAUAUGGACUAUUGUGUUAUGAGACAUUGUUGGUCGCACGCUGUUCUCCAGAUAGGAGGUGACGGGUGUCACAGAUACCUUUGCUUGCUCUUGAAUACGAACCUCCUAGGACUAAUUCAUUCAAAACGGUGGAAGCCUCGUUGAGAAUUGAUGGAGUAGCUAGUGCUGGUUUCAAGAUUUCGCGGUCAAAGCUAGUUAAUCUGAUUAGGUAAAUUAGCUUUCUUUUCUUUUUGAUCUUCCAUUGCAUUCUCAUGUUUGCUGAGAAAAAAAAAAUCAUUCUUCUUUGUUGUUACCUCGCAGUAGUGGGGACAUUCGGGUUAACUGGGCAACGGUUACCAAGAACGGAACCAUGGUAAAGACUGGUGAUGUUGUCUCUGUUACCGGGAAAGGGAGACUCAAGGUAAGACUGUAAGAGGGAAAAUGGCCUAUUCUUCUAUGAACUAAUUGUUCCCGGCUUUUUCACACACGGAUUUUUAAGUCAUGCCAAAAACCACAUGAACAACAGAAAAGUGGUUUAUUCCCCUAUGAACUAGUUUUUCCUGGUUUUUCACACACGAACUUUUAAAUCAUGCCAAAAAACACAUGAACAACUCUAUUUUUGAAUAACAUACACAAACUAUCGAUUUUUAAACUAAUUCCUCUAAAACUGUAAAUGGUGUUAUUUAAAUGUUAACUAGUUUGUGAUAGGUGGAGAGCCGGUUUAAUUUGGAUUAAUAAAAAAAUUACUAUGUAGUUUUAUCUUUUUUUCUCUUUUUUUUUUGUCAACUGUUCUUCUUUUUCAGAAAUAGUUUUACUUUUCGUCAUCAAUUGGAGAUAAAAUUUAUAAUUUUGCAGAAGAAUAAAAUGUUUUACAUGAUGCAUAAAAAAAGAAAAGCAGUCCACUAGGAACUAUAAAAUCGGUGCAGUAUCCCCAACUGAUGAUGAAGAGUAAAACAAUUUCUGAAAAAAAAGCAAUUGACAAAAAAAAUAAAGAAUAAAACGACAGUAUUUUUUUAUCAAUCCAAAUCAAACAGGCUUUCCAUAUGUCAUAAACCAAAUUGAUUGUGUUAUUACUAAAAUGACUCAUAUUUUUUGAAAAUUAUUAGAAUAUUUUUUGGUCGAAAUUGCCCCUGCCCAUAGUUAUAACAAAAAAAAUUAUUACAAAAAUACCCUUACAUCUGAUCGACGGCAGAGUUUUUUUUUUUUUUCAAAAAAAUAAAUCUAUCGAAUAAUAAGUCUGUUUAUAAAAUCUGUAUGAAAAAAUAAAUCUACCAUUAAAGUGGUGACAGACUUUUUUAAAAACGUCAGAUUUGUUUACACGGCAGAGUUAAUUGUCCGAUUUAAAUAGAAAAUAUAUUUUUAUGAAUAUAUCUGUCAAAUGAGGUAGCAGAUUUGUUAUGAAUGGUAGGUUUUUGUGGUCAACUUAUUUUCUUAUGUUCGACUUAUUUUUUUUACGGCAGAGUUAUAUAUAUGAUCUAAAAUUGUUGGUAGAUUUUUUGCUUAUAUGGUUGUAGACUUUUUGAUUUAUGUUGUGGAAGAUUUAUUGACGAAAAUUUGGGUUUAUGUAAAUCAGAUUUAAUUUAAUAUCUAAUUUUGAUCCGGUUUACAUUAAUUUCAAAUCUUGUUUAUUUUUAGAUUAAUUAAUAUCAGAAUUAGGUAAUUUUUGGUACUUGUCAUCAUCUUUUUUAUCUUUCUUUUCUUCUUCGUCAAGUUAUUCUCUUUCGUGGUGGUUUAAUCACUUCUAUAGAGAUAAUGAAUUUGUUUAGAGAUGCUCAAAGCAAAAAUAAGUUUAAGCUACUAAAGCUAAUUAAAAAUAGUAUACUUAGCACCACGAACUGUCAAGCAAUGCAGACAGUUCAUUAUAUAAUAUUAGUUAAUUUCAUAGUAAUCAGUCAAUAUUCAGUAGCAUGUAAAUGUGAUAAUCGAUCAUUGAUUUCGACAAGAAAAUAAACGAAACAACUCGGCUACAUGAAUGUUACAUGUUGAGAAACAGAUGACAUAACUAAAAGAAACAAGAACAGAUUAUCAUCUAAACGAGUUUCCGCAUUCCUCAUACAAGUAUACAUUCUCUGGCUUAGCUCUUCGCACGUCAGCUCGUGAUUAUUUAUGUUUCCCAUUUGAAGAUGCAAACUGUAGACGAGCCUUUCUCCAUGAGACCUAGAAGAUGAAA